GAUGAACGCUGGCGGCGUGCCUAAUACAUGCAAGUCGAGCGAACAGACGAGGAGCUUGCUCCUCUGACGUUAGCGGCGGACGGGUGAGUAACACGUGGAUAACCUACCUAUAAGACUGGGAUAACUUCGGGAAACCGGAGCUAAUACCGGAUAAUAUAUUGAACCGCAUGGUUCAAUAGUGAAAGACGGUUUUGCUGUCACUUAUAGAUGGAUCCGCGCCGCAUUAGCUAGUUGGUAAGGUAACGGCUUACCAAGGCAACGAUGCGUAGCCGACCUGAGAGGGGGAGCGGCCACCCGGAAACGGAAACCGGGCCCAAACCCCAAGGGGGGGAAAGAGGGGGAAAUUUUCCGAAAGGGGGAAAAGCUGGGCGGGGCAACGCCGGGGGAGGAGAAAAGGUUUGGGGAUGGAAAAACUUUUUUAAGGGGGAAAAAAAAAUGGGGAAAAAACUAAGCCGCUCUGAAGGGAACCUAAGCAGAAAGCCCCGGUAAACUAGGG
rnacentral:rRNA from 1 species